GACGAGGUGGCCGAGUUGUUUAUGGCGAUGGAUUGCUAAUCAAUAGGGCUCUGUCCGCGUGGGUUCGAAUCCCAACCUCUCUCGUCA